GACACAUUGAGAGAAGAAAACAAUGAUUACCUUUCUCUAGCACAAGAAGAAGAUCAUCAAAUCAAAAACACUAAAACAAUUCCUUGAAACCCAAAAUCCCAUCCUCAAAAAUUUUCACCCUUCUCACCAAUGAUCUCUUCAUAGUUUGAUAACACACACACACACACCAAAUCUUGCUAUUUCAUAUCUCAUUUCUCAUCCCAAUAUCAACCUUAAAAUCCAUAGACAAUGGCUAGUACCACUUCUUCCAUCAUGGACACACUCUUCCAACGCACCUUAGAGGACCUAAUCAAGGGCCUCCGCCUCCAACUCAUCGGCGAGUCCGCUUUCAUCUCCAAAGCCCUCGACGAGAUCCGCCGCGAGAUCAAAUCCACAGACCCACACACCAAAUCCAACGCACUCCAAAAGCUCUCCUACCUCUCUUCUCUCCACCACUUCGACAUGUCGUGGGCUGCUUUCCAUGUCGUCGAAGUCAUGUCUUCCUCUCGCUUUUCCCACAAGAAAAUCGGGUACCAUGCUGCUUCUCUCUCCUUCAGCGACUCCACCCCUGUGCUCCUCUUGAUCACCAAUCAACUCCGCAAAGAUUUGACCAACCCAAACAACGAGUUUGAGGUAAGUCUUGCUCUUGAAUGCCUGUCUAGAAUUGCCACUACUGAUCUUUGUAGAGACUUAACUCCUGAGAUUUUCACCCUUUUGUCAAGUACUAAGAUUUUCGUGAGAAAGAAAGCGAUUGCGCUUGUUUUGAGGGUUUUCGAGAAAUACCCAGAUGCUGUAAAGGUCUGUUUUAAGCGUUUGGUUGAGAAUUUAGAUAGUACCGAUCCUCACAUUGUGUCUGCGGUUGUUGGGGUCUUUUGUGAACUCACUUCUAAUGACCCCAAAUCGUAUCUUCCAUUGGCGCCCGAGUUUUAUAGAAUUUUAGUUGAUUCUAAGAACAAUUGGGUGUUGAUUAAGAUGUUGAAGAUUUUCACCAAGUUGGUGCUGUUGGAGCCAAGGUUGGCGAAGCGGGUUGUUGAGCCAGUUUGUGAGCAUAUGAGGAGGACUGGAGCUAAGUCGUUGAUGUUUGAGUGUGUUAGGACUGUGGUGAGUAGUUUGAGUGAGUAUGAACAAGCGGUGAAGCUUGCGGUUGUGAAGAUUCGGGAGUUGUUGCUAGAUGAUGAUCCGAAUCUUAGGUAUCUUGGAUUGAAUGCACUUUCGAUUGUUGCUCCGAAGCACUUGUGGGCUGUGUUGGAGAAUAAGGAGGUAGUAAUUAAGUGGUUGAGUGAUGAGGAUCCUAAUAUCAAGCGUGAGUCCUUGCGUCUUGUGAUGGCAAUGGUUUCUGAAAAUAAUGUGGUUGAAAUUUGCAGGGUUUUGGUGAAUUAUGCUUUAAAAUCUGAUCCAGAGUUUUGCAAUGAGAUUCUGGGGUCCAUUUUGUCGACAUGUUCUAGAAAUUUGUAUGAGAUAGUUAAUGAUUUUGAUUGGUAUGUGUCGCUUCUUGGAGAAAUGUCGAGGAUUCUACAUUGCCAACAGGGGGAUGAAAUUGAGAAUCAGCUAAUUGAUAUCAGUAUGAGGGUCAGGGAUGUUAGACCAGAGCUUGUUCGGGUUGGUCGUGAUCUGCUAAUUGAUCCUGCAUUACUUAGUAACCAUUUCUUGUAUAGGAUAUUAUCUGCUGCUGCUUGGGUGUCAGGGGAGUAUGUUGAGUUCUCAAGGAAUCCGUUUGAACUUAUAGAGGCACUGUUACAACCUCGUACGAAUCUCUUGCCACCAUCAAUAAGGGCAAUAUAUAUCCAGUCUGCUUUUAAAGUAUUAAUCUUUUGUUUACAUUCUUACCUCUUACAAAGGGAAAGUACUGCUUCCUCAUAUCCUGAUACUUCGGCACUUUCUGAAUUAGCCUCCAAGAGGGAAAUGCCUGAGGGUUCUGAUUUGGCAACAUUUAAAGCUCAUUCUCACAGUGAACAGGAUGAAGUGUUCAACCCAAGGGUGUCAAAUCAAUCAUCUGAAGAGCUUUCUGUAGGAAAUGGUGGGGGUAGAACUAUUAGUCAUGGUCAGACAUCUACACCUGUUACUUCAGAGAACAGUUUCACAUAUGAAGCUGUUGUCAACCAAUUAAAUCUAAUAGAGUUGGCUCUGGGCCCACUUACAGGAAGCCAUGAUGUAGAAAUACUGGAGAGAGUGAGGAAUCUAUUAUGUUUCAUUGAGUUGAUUAAGGGAGAAAUCCUUGAGAGCUUAGUGCAGAAUGAAGAAAACUUGAAUAGUGCAGAGAUGAAAUCUUCCAAAAUCAUCAAACUGAUGAGUGAUGCCUUUUCGGAGGAGCUUGGUCCAGUCUCAGUUAGUGCUCAGGAAAGAGUUCCUAUACCAGAAGGAUUAGCGCUUAAGGAGAAUCUUAAUGAUUUGGACAUGAUCUGUGGUGAUAUUCAACUACCUUCAUCAAUUUCAUUUUCUCUGGUAAGUACUCAUUAUGAGGAGGGGGUUGGUGCUUCUCUCCCUGACCUCCAAAGCAAAGAAGAAUUGGAACCACCAAGUGAGGCCACGUCUCUACUUGCUGAACACCGUAAGCGGCAUGGGUUAUACUAUCUUACUUCAGAGAAAAAUGACAUUGUAGCAAAUGAUUAUCCACCUGCCAAUGACCCCAAGUUGCAGGAUAAUCAGAAUAAUGACACUGAAGAUCUAGUUAAGCUUACUGAGCAACUACUUGUGUCAAAGAAAAGGCCAAACCAGGCAAAGCCUAGGCCUGUAGUGGUGAAAUUGGAUGGAGAUGUUGUACCUGUUUCAGCCAAGAGGCCAGGUCCAAAGGAUGAUUCGCUAUCUGGUGCAGUGCAGGAAGUUCUUUUGGGAAGUGACACAAAAACCUCUACAUCACGAAGUAAUCCCUCUGAUAAGUCAUCAAGUAAGAGAAAAGGGAAGGAAAAGCUAAUCAUUGAUCCUUCUUCCGAACUGAAUGAAAAUUUGGGUGAUGCAGAAAAGCUAGACCGUGAAAAUCCAAGUUCAAGAAGAAGUAAACACCGUACUCAUGGUAAAGAGAGAAGACAUAAGAGUCCAGGAAAGAUUAGGGAGGAAAGGGAAGAAAAUGGUCAGAAAGAGAAGAAAAAGAGUAGUCAUCGCCAUGCUAGGCACAAAACUCGACAAAGAGCUGAUGUGCCCUUGAACGUGGUUUCAGAAACACCAGUAAUUCCAGAUUUUCUUUUGUAGCAUUAAUGACCUGGAAUCAUUAUUUGCGAUCAGCUGUCACUCAACUUUUUUCUCCCUCAUAUUCCACCACUUUGAGCGAUGAGCUCUCUCUCCCUCACGCAUCAUUGAUGGAAAUCAAGGACCUCCAUUGCAGACGCUGCAUGAGCAUUUGGAUAUCAAGGGCAGUAUGACCCAAUCUAGAUACAUGAGACCCAUAAUCAGUAAUGGCCUUCAUAACAUUAGUAUUCUCUCCUUUAAUGACCAGAUCUGUAAAGCCAGCUUCCAUAGCAAAUUCAAUGGCCUUGCAACAAGCUAAAAUCUCCACCUCAUCACUAUUAGCCACUAAGGGACCUUUAGCAGAUAUGGCACCUCAUCGCUAUUGUUCCUUUUAAAAUAAAAUAUCACAUGCUAAAUAUACUAUUACUAUGGGUUCUAUAUGGUAUAUAUUUUUUCAGUGGAAAUUAUUGGAUCUGUACUUGUACCAUAAUGAAAUAAGCUUUUGUUUUUAAUUUUUUGUGAAGAUGGUGUUUUUGUCUUUAAGCAAUGUGCCACCUAAGCAAAAAUCAUGUACAAGUCAUGUGCUAUUAAUUUCAAUCUAACUUAACGGUAAAACUAACAUCAGGGUGCAAAGUGUAAUAAGUGUAAUAAUUUAGGGUGCCAAAUGUGCAUUCAAAUAGUUUAAGUUGUAAAGUAUAAUAUGGUGUAUAGUUUAGGGUGUUAAAGUAUAAUUUGCCCUAGUUUUUAAACAGCAAUAGAUGCACCUCAAAACCUCAUUAGUUGUGUCAUUGCCCUAAGCACAAAAAUAAUAUAUAGUGGUAUAGAGUAUUACCACAAUUAAAUGGGACUGGCACACUUUCUGAUUCAUUUUCAAAAUAUAGCCAUGU